CGAUAUUCAAGUAUUUUCUUUCCAGAUUUGCAGGCUAUUCAAUUCUCCCACCGACCUUCCUCCCUUCACAAAUGGCAUCUCUAUAAAGAGCCCACACAUCAAGCCACGGCGCAUCUCUGUCCGUCCCCACUCUCCCCUUCCCAGAGGCGAGCUGAGCUACCCUCUUCCUCGGCCGUGGCUGCAAGCUCUCAGCUCAGCUCGGCCAUGGUGGAUUGGUGGCGCCGGCGGAUCGGUCCGGCCGGCUCGAUCGCCCGCGGCCUAACAUUAGGCUCGGGGACUAUGGUGCAGCCAAGGAUGACUUGCCGAUCGAUGGGCGCCACUGAUGCGCGUGUGCUGAUCGAUCGGUCGGCCAUCGGCAAGUUGUUCUUGGCUACACCGUGGCCCCUGCUCCUGAUGUAAGGCCUUGUCCGCGGCGACACUUCCCAUCUGUUGAUCGGGGCAAGAUCAAGGUAACAUCGACCAAACUACAGCAGCUGUUCCAAUCAUGGUAAUAGCCGGAUCAAGCUGCUUUGUUUUAAUUUCUCCCUGAUUCGAGUUCUUCUUUCCUGAUGAAUAUCUUCAGUUCAGAGUUCAGACUCAGCUCCAUGCCUUGAUGAUGAUGAGCAACUGUGUUUGCUCCGACAGCUUAGCUUCGGCGAACAACACACGUGCGUCUUUUUUUUUCUUAGCAAAACGACGAGUAAAUCCUUUGCGUGUUCUUGAUGAAAACGCUAGGUACAUACAUCGCAUCGCCGCCGCUAGUGUCACAGGAGACUCGACGAGCAGGGUCAAACAGGAGAUAACGGGAUAAGAUGUGUACGUCUUGGGCAUGGCACGGCACGUCGGUCUUAUCCGGAUAUCUGGAUAUACAUGAGCUGCACGAUCCAGGAGCUCGAUUUUUAUGGGCGCGACAGGAAGCUCUUGCAAAUUGCGGCGGGCGCUGCUGCCAAGGCCAUGCGGUGGUCACCUUGCGGCUUUUCUAGUGCCACCUUGCGGCCCAGCUAGCUGCAGCUGGUGGUCAGCGUCGGCCUCUAGCUAGUGGUGGUGAUCACUGAUCAGUACUCGGUUGAUUUGGUCGGUGGCCGUAAAUUUUAGUCGAGUUACAGUUUCAUCGGUUUGUUUCAGUGUUUCAGUUUGUUUCAUCAGUACUAGUUUAAUUUAUACGUUUAUUUGUUUGGCCGUAUUAGUUAAUUUGUCAAAUAUUUAUUUGUUUGUGUUAAUCAUUCAAGCCGCCAACCGAA